rnacentral:lncRNA from 1 species
GAGGAAUUCAUACGCAAAGUCUUAAGGGUACCUGGCGGAUGGCGUGAGAAAUGUGACCAUGUGGAGAUGUUCAAUUUGAACACAUGUACUCCAGUGACCUUUAUGUACGGCAUAUUUCAGGAAUGUAGUAGUUGAGUAAGGGUAUUUUUGGAAUGUAAAGUAGGCCAUUGGGCACUAUAAAAGGGUAACCCUACCCUGUUGUAAAGGGAGAUUACUUUUCAAUAGAAAAGAACAUUGUUUCCACUUAAAU